rnacentral:rRNA from 1 species
AACGUAGGACGCAAGCGUUAUCCGGAGUUACUGGGCGUAAAGCGCGGGCAGGCGGCUCGAAACGUCUGAUGUGAAAUCUCCUCGCUCAACGGGGAGAGGCCAUUGGAAACGGUCGAGCUGGAGGGCAGUAGAGGUAGGCGGAAUUCCGGGUGGAGUGGUGAAAUGCGUAGAUAUCAGGAGGAACACCUGUGGUGUAGACAGCUUACUGGACCACUUCUGACGCUGAGACACGAAAGCGUGGGUAGCAAACAGG